UACGUAGGUGGCAAGCGUUGUCCGGAAUUACUGGGUGUAAAGCGCGUGUAGGCGGGAGGCCAAGUCUGUGGUGAAAUCGCCUGGCUUAACUGGGCGGGGUCCAUGGAAACUGGUCACCUGGAGGUCGGUAGAGGCAAGUGGAAUUCCCGGUGUAGUGGUGAAAUGCGUAGAGAUCGGGAGGAACACCAGUGGCGAAGGCGGCUUGCUGGGCCGGACCUGACGCUGAGGUGCGAAAGCGUGGGGAGCAAACAGG
rnacentral:rRNA from 1 species